rnacentral:ncRNA from 15 species
AAACCACAAGGGGAGCCGAAGCUCCCCCAGAAUAGUUGCGUGCUCUAUUUUUAUUAUUGGUUUCGGGCUUCUUGUUUUUGUUAAACGCCCUUGUCAUCUGGUUUACCCAGGAUGACCCUCCCAAUCGGGAGCCAAGAGCAAACGGAUUGCUUUGAUCGCUGAGUUGCAAUGACCUUUCGAUCCAACCAGUUCAGGCUCUGCCUUAGGGCAGUU